rnacentral:rRNA from 1 species
GGAUGCACGACGAGGGACAUCUAUAACUUCUGCCAUCGCUACAAGCAGGAAACAGUCGCUGCCGGUGAUGCUCAGACGGUGGUCCGUCACAUGAUGGCGCGGCAAGAGAGAGACCCAGAUUAUUUCUUCAAAUACUUGGUUGAUAAAGCUGGGCAUCUGAAGGGAUUGUUCUGGUCCGAUACUCAAUCCCGCCUUGAUUACGAGGCUUUCGGUGAUGUUGUUGUUUUUGAUAGCACAUACAGGACCAAUAAGUACAAUCUUCCGUUCGUGCCGUUUGUCGGGUUGAAUCACCACCGCAGCACUGUUAUCUUUGGAUGCGGGAUCAUUUCUCAUGAAACUAACGAGGCAUACGAGUGGAUGUUGCGGACAUUUUCUGAAGCCAUGUCGCAGAAGCAUCCGAUAUCUGUAAUCACCGACGGGGACCUUGCAAUGCAGAGAGCGAUCAGGGUGGUGUGGCCUGACUCAUACCACAGGCUAUGUGUAUGGCACAUUCAGCAGAACAUUGUACGCCAUCUACAUGACGACGAGGUUAGGGAAGAAUUCAGAUCUUUCAUAUAUGACUCGUCUUCUAUUGAAGAGCACGAGAGAAAAUGGAUAGAGUUCUUACGAAGGAAUGAAGUUACAAGUGAGGAGUCGUGGCUGCAUCAGAUGUAUCAAAUGAGGAAGCUGUGGUGUGCUCCAUACCUGGUGGGGCGUUGUUUCUUAGGAUUGAGCAGCAAUCAGCGUAGUGAGAGCCUCAACUCGGUGCUACAUACACAUCUUGAGGGUAAGAUGACAUUGUUUGAUAUGCUAGAGCACUAUGAGCGUUGCCUUUCGGGACGACGCUUGAACGAGGCGAUCCUAGACAUCGUGGCCUUACAGUCCGUUCCAUUUACAGACGCGGAUGCUUCAAGUCUUGAGAAACAUGCUGCCCGGGUUUUCACGCCUUGUAUGUUUGAGCUGGUCAGAUGGAGCAUAAAUGCGGUCAGCAAAUGU